GUAAAUAAAGAUCUACGAAAUCAUCGGUCUAUUAGGCGAUCAAUCCCCAAUUCAAUCAAAAUAUUGUUUUCUCUCUCUCUCCAUAAACAAAUAGUAUUUUUGAUAUGACAGCCUAAUAGAUGAUAUGAUUAUUUCAGUUGUCUUUGUUUGGAUAUCACAUUAACUGAUUGUAAAAUCAGUGUCAAAGCCCGGCUUGCCGGGUUUUUU
rnacentral:sRNA from 25 species